ACGACUCUCGGCAACGGAUAUCUCGGCUCUCGCAUCGAUGAAGAACGCAGCGAAAUGCGAUACUUGGUGUGAAUUGCAGAAUCCCGUGAACCAUCGAGUUUUUGAACGCAAGUUGCGCCCAAAGCCUUUCGGCCGAGGGCACGUCUGCCUGGGUGUCACGCAACAU
rnacentral:rRNA from 36 species